CUAUCUCUUUUAUUAUUACUACUUUGAAUUUUGAAGCAUAUUUAAGUCAGUUUAUGUUUAUUUUGUUUUUUAAUGGUUAAAAAUUUUAAUUUCAACAAAUUCAAACUGUAUGCACCCAUUUGCACAUACAUGCCUAUGAGCAUUUUUACUCAUAGGUUUGACUUUGUAUAUACCAAUAUUCUGAAAUGUCAACAGUUGCAAACCUUUAUGUCAAAAAAAUUUUAUAAAAAUUUUUUUAAAUUUGGCUUUCUAUUAACAUCUCUUCAAUCAGACACUGGUCUAACACAAGUUUUCUCUUAUUGUAGCAUUUAACUACUUGUAACGCCGACCUGAAGAUGAUCUGUAUAUUGUAGAGAUCGAAACCGGUCGUCAAAGUAUAAUUAAAUGAUUGUGAAAUUGGUAGUCAGGAUCCUAAAACAUGCAAUUGUAAGUCCCGAGAUGCAGCUCGACACAACCAACAUAAAAGGCGCAAAAAAAUCUAGCCUACCUAUAGCCCGAAAAUAUUAUUGGAAAUGCUGCUACCACGGCCAGGCAAGCGACAAAAUUACAGCGCUGUGCUUAGCGUAAAGAGUGAGAUAAAUGCGAAUUCUGUUCGGCUACGUUUAAAAGCGCCUGCCCUAGGGUAGAGCCGUCGUAGUAGUGCUACGCUACGGGGAGCGCACAAUAAUUAUUACAACUUCGGAGAUGAAUUAAAAAGUAGCUUUAUUUUAUUUUAGAUUUUUAGAUACUUAGGUAUUGUAUCAAAAUUUAUAAAUUAUAAAUAGAAAAAUAGAAAAAGACUGUUUAGAUCCCGUUUAGAUUUAUAAAUUAUAGUUUUGAAAUAA
rnacentral:lncRNA from 1 species